rnacentral:lncRNA from 1 species
GGGCGCCUACGAUCACAAUUCAAAAUCCGUCCGUCGAUGACCUUAACGUCAAACCUGCUGCAAUUCUCAAUAGGUAAGGCCAUCUGGAUAGUAACCUUACUAUUUAGAAAGUUAUUAGAACUGCUCGUGUCGAUGAGAACAGUGAUCGGUUGUUGUUUGAGAAGGCCUCCAACUUUCAUCGUUUGCGGGUUUGAGUAGUCGGCUAGUGCAUGUACCGUAACUUCAGUCGGUUGUGGCUCUUCUUCUGCAUCUUCUUCUUCAUGUUCAAGGCUCUCUUCUGGAUGUUCAAUGACCUCUUCUUCUAUUGGUUCAAUCAUAAGAAGUCUCCCUUUACUACAGCGAUGCUCAC